rnacentral:snRNA from 1 species
AGAUGAGUAAGAAAUUAGUCCAUGUGGCCAUUCAUUCAGGAAAUGGCAUAUUUCAAAAGACAGAGCUGUCGAAGAGGAUGACCUCCCGCCCCCGAGGAGAGGACCAGUCUUCGGUCAAGGGUAUACGAGUAGCUGCGCUCCCCUGCUAGAACCUCCAAACAAGCUCUCAAGGUCAAAAGACAGAGUUAUGAAUGGACAUCAUGUUUAAGAACGGU